CCAGUAGUCAUAUGCUUGUCUCAAAGAUUAAGCCAUGCAUGUCUAAGUAUAAGCAAUCAUACUGUGAAACUGCGAAUGGCUCAUUAAAUCAGUUAUCGUUUAUUUGAUAGUACCUUUACCUGGAUAACCGUGGUAAUUCUAGAGCUAAUACAUGCUAAAAACCCCGACUUCGGAAGGGGUGUAUUUAUUAGAUAAAAAACCAAUGCCCUCUGGGCUCCUUGGUGAUUCAUAAUAACUUAACGAAUCGCAUGGCCUUGCGCCGGCGAUGGUUCAUUCAAAUUUCUGCCCUAUCAACUUUCGAUGGUAAGAUAGAGGCUUACCAUGGUCUUAACGGGUAACGGAGAAUUAGGGUUCGAUUCCGGAGAGGGAGCCGGAGGAACGGCUACCACAUCCAAGGAAGGCAGCAGGCGCGCAAAUUACCCAAUGCUAAUUCAGCGAGGUAGUGACAAUAAAUACUGAUACGGGGCUCUUUCGGGUCUCGUAAUUGGAAUGAGUACAGUCUAAAUCCCUUAACGAGGAACAAUUGGAGGGCAAGUCUGGUGCCAGCGGCCGCGGUAAUUCCAGCUCCAAUAGCGUAUAUUAAAGUUGUUGCCGUUAAAAAGCUCGUAGUUGAACCUUGGACCUGGCUGAUCUGUCCUCCUAAUCGAGCGCACGGAUUCGGUCGGGUCUUUCCUUCUGGGGAGCCCUAUGCCCUUCACUGGGUGUAGUGGGGAACCAGGACUUUUACCUUGAAAAAAUUAGAGUGUUCAAAGCAGGCCUUUGCUCGAAUACAUUAGCAUGGAAUAAUAGAAUAGGACAUCGGUUCUAUUUUGUUGGUUUCUAGGACCGCUGUAAUGAUUAAUAGGGAUAGUCGGGGGCGUCAGUAUUCAAUUGUCAGAGGUGAAUUCUUGGAUUUAUUGAAGACUAACUACUGCGAAAGCAUUCGCCAAGGAUGUUUUCAUUAAUCAGUGAACGAAAGUUAGGGGAUCGAGACGAUCAGAUACCGUCGUAGUCUUAACCAUAAACUAUGCCGACUAGGGAUCGGGACGGUGGAUUUGAUC
rnacentral:rRNA from 1 species